rnacentral:rRNA from 1 species
AUUGAACGCUGGCGGCAGGCCUAACACAUGCAAGUCGAGCGGUAGAGAGGUGCUUGCACCUCUUGAGAGCGGCGGACGGGUGAGUAAUACCUAGGAAUCUGCCUGGUAGUGGGGGAUAACGUUCGGAAACGGACGCUAAUACCGCAUACGUCCUACGGGAGAAAGCAGGGGACCUUCGGGCCUUGCGCUAUCAGAUGAGCCUAGGUCGGAUUAGCUAGUUGGUGAGGUAAUGGCUCACCAAGGCUACGAUCCGUAACUGGUCUGAGAGGAUGAUCAGUCACACUGGAACUGAGACACGGUCCAGACUCCUACGGGAGGCAGCAGUGGGGAAUAUUGGACAAUGGGCGAAAGCCUGAUCCAGCCAUGCCGCGUGUGUGAAGAAGGUCUUCGGAUUGUAAAGCACUUUAAGUUGGGAGGAAGGGCAUUAACCUAAUACGUUAGUGUUUUGACGUUACCGACAGAAUAAGCACCGGCUAACUCUGUGCCAGCAGCCGCGGUAAUC